rnacentral:rRNA from 1 species
AGGACGAACGCUGGCGGCGUGCUUAACACAUGCAGGUCGAACGGUGAAGCCCUUCGGGGUGGAUCAGUGGCGAACGGGUGAGUAACACGUGGGUAAUCUGCCCUGCACUCUGGGACAAGCCCGGGAAACUGGGUCUAAUACCGGAUAACACCUUCCCCGCAUGAGGGAAGGUUAAAAGCUCCGGCGGUGCAGGAUGAACCCGCGGCCUAUCAGCUUGUUGGUGGGGUAAUGGCCUACCAAGGCGACGACGGUA